GAUGAACGCUGGCGGCGUGCCUAAUACAUGCAAGUCGAGCGAACAGACGAGGAGCUUGCUCCUCUGACGUUAGCGGCGGACGGGUGAGUAACACGUGGAUAACCUACCUAUAAGACUGGGAUAACUUCGGGAAACCGGAGCUAAUACCGGAUAAUAUAUUGAACCGCAUGGUUCAAUAGUGAAAGACGGUUUUGCUGUCACUUAUAGAUGGAUCCGCGCCGCAUUAGCUAGUUGGUAAGGUAACGGCUUACCAAGGCAACGAUGCGUAGCCGACCUGAGAGGGUGGUCGGCCACACUGGCACUGAGACACGGUCCAGACUCCUACGGGAGGCAGCAGUCGGGAAUCUUCCGCAAUGGGCGAAAGCCUGACGGAGCAACGCCGCGUGAGUGAUGAAGGUCUUCGGAUCGUAAAACUCUGUUAUUAGUGAAGAACAAAUGUGUAAGUAACUAUGCACGUCUUGACGGUACCGAAUCAGAAAGCCACGGCUAACUACGUG
rnacentral:rRNA from 1 species